rnacentral:rRNA from 1 species
AUUGAACGCUGGCGGCAUGCCUAACACAUGCAAGUCGAACGGCAGCACGGCAGUAGCAAUACUGUGGGUGGCGAGUGGCGGACGGGUGAGGAAUACGUCGGAAUCUGCCCAGUCGUGGGGGAUAACUAGCCGAAAGGUUAGCUAAUACCGCAUACGACCGAGAGGUGAAAACGGGGGACCGCAAGGCCUCGCGCGAUUGGAUGAGCCGACGUCGGAUUAGCUAGUUGGUGGGGUAAAGGCCCACCAAGGCGACGAUCCGUAGCUGGUCUGAGAGGAUGAUCAGCCACACUGGAACUGAGACACGGUCCAGACUCCUACGGGAGGCAGCAGUGGGGAAUAUUGGACAAUGGGCGCAAGCCUGAUCCAGCAAUGCCGCGUGUGUGAAGAAGGCCUCGGUUGUAAG